rnacentral:rRNA from 1 species
GACGAACGCUGGCGGCGUGCCUAAUACAUGCAAGCCGAGCGGAUCAUCCCUUCGGGGAUGGUUAGCGGCGGACGGGUGAGUAACACGUAGGCAACCUGCCUGUAAGAUCGGGAUAACUACCGGAAACGGUAGCUACGACCGGAAAGCUGGUUUCCACGCAUGGGGGAAUCAUGAACCACGGAGAAAUCUGUGGCUCACGGAUGGGCCUGGGGGGAAUUAGCGAGUUGGUGGGGUAACGGCCGACCAAGGCGACCCUGCGUAGCCGACCUGAGAGGGUGAACGGCCACACUGGGACGGAGACACGGCCCAGACUCCUACGGGAGGCAGCAGUAGGGAAUCUUCCGCAAUGGACGCAAGUCUGACGGAGCAACGCCGCGUGAGUGAGGAAGGCCUUCGGGUCGUAAAGCUCUGUUGCCCUAGACGAACGCCUCUUGGAGUAACUGCCAAGAGGGUGACGGUAUAGGAGAAGAAAGCCCCGGCUAACUACGUGCCAGCCGCCGCAGUAA